GGCGGGGGCGGAAGCAGGACAUCUCGGGCAGCCCCCACCCCGCCUCUACAGUGCCCGUGUCUGGCCUGGACCUCGGAUCUGGGAAGUUGAAAAAAUUAUUUUUACCAAAUCGAGAAGGGGUAGGUCCUGAUGCUGUCCCCACAGCAGAAUCUUCACCAUCCUGUACACUCUCCCAAGAGCUACAGAAGAUGAACAUAUCUGAGAAACAUGAUAGGAAUUAGUUCCAAAGGUAUUAUCCACGUCACCUAAUUUUGAAAUCUUCAAAUUGAUGGGAAAUGUGCUUGCACAGACAUCAGUGUCAUUUAUGGCCGUGAUUGUGGAGUUUACCCAGGAGGAGUGGCAGCAUAUGAAUCCUGCUCAGAGGACCCUGUACAGAGAUGUGAUGCUGGAGAACUACAGCCACCUUGCCUCAUCGGAAACUGCCACAGCCACCCCAGCCUUCAGUAACCACCACCAUUAAUAGUCAGCAGCAUCAACACUGAGGCAAGACCCUCCGUCAGCAGGAAGAUUACCGUGCACGGAAGGCUCAAGGAUGGUUAGCAUUUUUUAGCAAUAAAGUGUUUUUUAAAUUAAGAUAUGUACAUUGUUUUUUAAGAUACAAUGCUAUUGCAAACUUAUUAGUCUACUCUGUGUGUAAACACAACUUUUAUAUGUACUGGGAAACCAAUUGUGAAUCGCUUUAUUGUGAUGUUCACAUUUUGCACUGAUCUGCAACCACACCUGCAGUAUCUCUGAGGUAUGCCUGUAUAUGAAGAAAAAAAACCCAACUGCCAAAUGAUUUUAAAGUGCCAGUGUCAUUUACGUGGGCAUUAGCAACUUAUAGUAGUUCUCGUUGCUCCACAUCCUCACCAUCAUUUUGUGUUGUAAACCUGAUGACUUUUGAUCUUUGUAGCGGGAGUAUGUUUUAUCUACUUGAGUUUUAGUUAGCUUUUCCCUUUGACUAAUGUUGCUAAACAACUUUUAUAUGCUGUUUGGCCAUUCAUGUAUAUUUUAUAAAAAGUGUGUUCAUAUCCUCAACCUAUUUGUUUUGUUGAGUUUUUUGUCUUGUUAUAAUUCAAUUGAAAGAGUUCUUUUUACAGUCUGGGUAGAAGACUUUUUAUAAGAUACACCUUUAGGAACUUUUUUCUCCUUAUCUGUGAUUGCCCUUUUUAUUUGGUAAACAGUGGGACAAAAGGUUUUCAUGUUGAUGAAGUCCAAUUUAUUAUUUGCUCUAUUUUCAUAUUCUAUUUUUUCUCCUGUUUAAGAAUAUGACUAAGCAAAGGUCAUUCAGAUUUCCUGUAUUUUUCUUCUAGAAAUUUUCUUGGUUUAGGUUAUAUUUAAGCCUUUGAGUUUUUUAGUUAAUCUCUCUAUAUGGUGUGGAAAUAUGGAUUGUUAUUCUUUUUUUUUGUAGCUAAUGCUCUAAUUGCUGCACUGGUUGUAUCCUUUCCUAUUCAGUUGCCUUGGCACCUGUUGAAAUAAACUGACUACAUGUGCUAGGCUUAUUUCUGAAUAUUAUUCUGGUUUAUUUAUCUACAUUUCUAUCUUAAUACUAAUCAUGCACUAUUUUGGUUAAUCUGGCUGUGUAGUAAGUUUUCACAUCAGGAAAGAUAAGUCCUCUUUAAGUUUUUCUUUUGGCUAUUACAGGUUCUUUUUCUUUUUCUAUAAAGUUUAAAAGAAUGUGUUUU